AACGAACGCUGGCGGCAGGCCUAACACAUGCAAGUCGAGCGAGGACUUCGGUCCUAGCGGCGGACGGGUGAGUAUCGCGUGGGAACGUGCCCUUUGCUUCAGAAUAGCCCUGGGAAACUGGGAGUAAUACCGGAUGAGCCCUUUGGGGGAAAGAUUUAUCGGCGAAGGAUCGGCCCGCGUUGGAUUAGGUAGUUGGUGGGGUAAUGGCCUACCAAGCCGACGAUCCAUAGCUGGUUUGAGAGGAUGAUCAGCCACACUGGGACUGAGACACGGCCCAGACUCCUACGGGAAGCAGCAGUGUGGAAUCUUAGACAAUGGGGGAAACCCUGAUCUAGCCAUGCCGCGUGAGCGAUGAAGGCCUUAGGGUUGUAAAGCUCUUUCAGCUGGGAAGAUAAUGACGGUACCAGCAGAAGAAGCCCCGGCUAACUCCGUG
rnacentral:rRNA from 1 species